AUUGAACGCUGGCGGCAUGCUUUACACAUGCAAGUCGAACGGUAACAGGCCUUCGGGUGCUGACGAGUGGCGUACGGGUGCGUAAUGCAUCGGAACGUACCCAGAGGUGGGGGAUAACGCAGCGAAAGCUGUGCUAAUACCGCAUGUGAUCUGAGGAUGAAAGCGGGGGACCGAGCAGCAAUGUUUGGCCUCGCGCCUUUGGAGCGGCCGAUGUCGGAUUAGCUAGUUGGUGGGGUAAAGGCCUACCAAGGCGACGAUCCGUAGCUGGUCUGAGAGGACGACGAGCCACCCUGGCACUGAGACACGGCCCAGACUACUACGGGAGGCACGAGUGGGGAAUUUUGGUCAAUGGGCGCAAGCGUGAUCCAGCAAUGCCGCGGGCGGGAAGAAGGCCUUAGGGUUGUAAACCGCUUUUGGCGGGAACGAAACGGUGUCCGCUAAUACCGAGCGCUAAGGACGGUACCUGAAGAAUAAGCACCGGCUAACUACGUG
rnacentral:rRNA from 1 species